UUCAUCUUCAUCUUCUCUUAAUAAUUUGGUGCAUCUCUUUCUUACAUAUACACGUACAUCUUUCAAAGAUGAGUUCAAGUGAGCUGCCUGCAGCUGCACAUCCUCCAACUGCACCAGUGCCUUACGUGGCUCCACCACCGGUUGGCUAUCCUACAAAAGACGGCUUCAGCUCCGGCUACUCUCAGAAUUCUCCUCCUCCAGUGGAAACCAAGUCUAGGGGCGACGACUCAAAGUGUUGUUUCCACGUCUGCUGUUGCUGCUACGAAUCUGCUUCAUAGAAUUCCAAAGCCCUAUGGCUUCAUCUAAGUCUUCAAUACAGAGCAUGUUCUCGUUUGUUUUGCCUACACUCAUUGCUGUUCUAGUUGUCUUUAAAUUUCAACGGUUGUUUACUUGAGAAGUUCCAACUAUAUAGGAUUUCGUAUGAGAAUAAGGAAAUUCGAUCAGAUGGACUACGACUCUCAAAGAUCACAUAGUUGUUCUAGUUAUGUGUUAUAUCUCUUGUAUUUCGUUUAUAUAUCUUCAAUCACCUACCUACAAUAAGUAGGCAAUUAUCUAUACAUAUAUCACUGUGCU